rnacentral:rRNA from 1 species
CAGCCGCCGCGGGAAUACGUAGGGCGCAAGCGUUAUCCGGAAUUAUUGGGCGUAAAGAGCUCGUAGGCGGUUUGUCGCGUCUGCCGUGAAAGUCCGGGGCUCAACCCCGGAUCUGCGGUGGGUACGGGCAGACUAGAGUGAUGUAGGGGAGACUGGAAUUCCUGGUGUAGCGGUGAAAUGCGCAGAUAUCAGGAGGAACACCGAUGGCGAGGGCAGGUCUCUGGGCAUUAACUGACGCUGAGGAGCGAAAGCAUGGGGAGCGAACAGGAUUAGAUACCCCCGUAGUCCCUGUCUCUUAUAC